rnacentral:rRNA from 1 species
UGACAGGGAGACAGGUGGUGCAUGGUUGUCGUCAGCUCGUGUCGUGAGAUGUUGGGUUAAGUCCCGCAACGAGCGCAACCCUCGCCUUAGUUGCCAGCAUUCAGUUGGGCACUCUAGAGGGACUGCCGGUGCCAAACCGGAGGAAGUGGGAUGACGUCAAGUCCUCAUGGCCUUUAUGUCUAGGGCUACACACGUACUACAAUGGCCGGUACAAAGGGCAGCCACUCAGCGAUGAGGCGCUAAUCCCAUAAAGCCGGUCUCAGUCCGGAUCGCAGUCUGCAACUCGACUGCGUGAAGUUGGAAUCGCUAGUAAUCGUAGAUCAGCAUGCUACGGUGAAUACGUUCCCGGGCCUU